ACCUCAUAAUUUUUUUCCCUUCUCUUUCUAAAAACCCAUCGUCCCCCCCCCCCUCUCACUAUUCACCAUCUUCUCCAAAUGUUUCUCCCUUUUCACUCAAAAUUACCAACAUGCAAGGUUACAGUCAUGACUUAAUUGUUAUCUCAUACUUCCAGCAAGCUCCAUUUUCCUCAUUUCUUCCCUCUAGGGCGCAGCUUUUCUCUAUUCUGCUCUUGGGGUUUAUUUCAGAAAUUGGAUCUAGAAUCUCAUGCAUGUGGUUUCUGGUGUUGAUUUUGGAACUGUUUGUGUGUUGUGUUGGUGACCAGAACCAAUUAAUUGGAGGAUGGUACAAAGUAGAGGUUUGACUGUUAAGGGAGGUAAGGGAUUAGGAAAGGAAAAUUGAUGUAGGGAUUUCGUCCAAUUCAACUUCUGAUGAAUUGAUUGGUGAAAAUAUAGAAUGUCAGUUGAUUGACCCUGCUGAUAGGACAGUAGAUAGAGACUUAUCACUCAUUCAAGAAUUGGGUUUGAAGUUUGUGUAUGCUAUAAAUACACAUGUACAUGCUGAUCAUGUUACUGGAACUGGCCUCAUCAAGGAUAGGUCCUUCAAUUUCUACAGAAGAAUGUUGAUGAAGCUUUGGGUAUGUAUGAGGUACUAAUCAAUGAAGAUUCAACAUUGAAGAUGAUGUAUGUAUGAAUAAGGAUGAAAAUUUCUGGAAAAUGGCUUUUGAAUUAGAUGGAAAAUGGCAUCUCUGUAUGUAUUUUUGCUUAUAACUGAGUUUAGAGGGAGUAGUUAGGAAAUAAUAUGCAUGAUCGUAUGAUGUGUGAUAUAAGGUGUGGAUACAUAUUGGCUGUUCAUGAAGAGUUUAGAAUGAGAAUUUUAAGUCUUUUUUAUACGCAACAUGCCUAAAAAGUUCAUCAAAUUAGUAUGCCAAAUUAGUGUUUUAUUUUAUAUACCAUGCAAAAUAUAUUAUAUAAGUUUUAUUCAUGGCCCCCCAUUUCUGCCGCCAUUGCACACACAUAUUUAUUGGGAACAUAUGCAUAGGCACUAUCAUUGGAUAAGCAUGAAAGUGUGGAGAAGUAUAUGAUUCCAUUCCAUGUUGAGUUCAAAAGUAGAUGUAUAAUUGUAUUCCCAUAUGUGCAAAGAGUGCAUGUACUUGAACGUGACACUCUUUGCUUAUCUUGGUUACAACUAUUUUAUGAGUUAUUGGGGAGAUUUAUCUGCAUGUUGUAUUCAAUUUGAGAAAGAUUUAAAGCAUUAGGCUCUUUGAUCCAAUCCAAUUAUGUGGUCACAAUAAUAACAUGAAGGUCUCUAUCAAAAUACGUAUUUAUGCCGGUUAAUUUGCCAUCUUAUGGUUAUAGUUGGAAUCUCAAUCUGAACCUUUACCAUCAGAUUAAUUGGUGUCCUUAUAUAUCAAGUCAUUCAUGAUCUUACUUUGGUUAAGAGUUCCUAAACGUUUGGGAAAUACACUAAAGAGCAUUUGGUUCUUUUCUCUAUAUAGUCAUAGUCACAGUGACUCAUUGAGAACAAAAUAGUACUCUCCUUUAACUUUCAAAAUAUGCUGCGCUUUGAAGCUUUUUGCUAAAAAUGGAACAUUCUUUGUAUAGAACCAAUUGUUGAUAUAAUCAUGUUCAGUUUCUGUCAUUAUUGGGUGAAAUUUUCGAUUUUGGCAGAAAUGAAAGUCAGUUUUGAAUUACCUUUGAUUAUCAGAGGUGGUUCUUGCAGUGUAAGCACUAACUCUUCGUACGGCAAUCACAAAUAGUUUAUUUUCUUUGAAUAAAUUUUUCAGUAUGUCACUGCACCAUAUGGUAAUGUUUUAUUUGUCUAUAAUUGAUUGAUGUUUGAAGCAUACACUUCAAUCCAACUUUUAAACCUUUACCUACUGAUGAAAACUAAACGUAGAACACACAUUAUAAUGAAAGUGGUUUGGUUUUCUAUGUGGAACUAGAAAUGUAAAGUUUUAUUAAUGGAAAGACUAAGGUGGUAUUUUGUUUUCAUUAUGACAUUAUAAUAUAACAUACAAAUCUUGGGUACUUGGUGCAUAGAUACACCAACCAUUAAGUUGGCAAUGUUCUCCAACUCUCUUCCACAACUGCAGGUCUCUGUAGAAUAUGGGUUAUAUGAAAUGAUGAGCUGGAGGGCAAUUAGGCUUGAGGUGGCUCCUAAAAAUGAAAAUUGGGGUUUCAAUAUAUCAGAGCGUGAGGCCAUGCUUUCUGCAGGGACAGUGGAUAAAAAUGUAGAAAGGGUCUAUAAAGAGGAAAAGAAAAGGAUGGAUGUCAACUGCUUGCAGAAUCACUCGAUACAGAGUGCUUAUCAUGUUGCACAAAGGUUGUUAUGCCUGAAAUAUUCCAAUCAAGUCGGGAAUACGAUUCGGCCAGCUUUGAUGAAUCUUAAGGAGUACUGCAUCAAGCAAAAGCUUUAAAAAUGGCCUAAAGGACAAUCUUUUCUUUGGGCUGAUUCUUUUCAGCAUAUGCAACUGUCAUUACUCAUCAAAUUGUUUAAUUUUGUGAACAAAUUGCAGGUGUUGCUGUUUGAAAUUUAUCAAAGUAUAAAGAAUCUUAAUUUAAAAUAAAUAUGAAAGAGAAAAAAUAAUGCUUUUAUUUUUUGGGCAGCUGGGAAACCCUGAAACUUAUGCUGAAGAUUAGUUAGGAAUGGUUGAUUAUGCUUGGAGUCAUGCAGUGAUAUAUGAUGAAACCUAUAAAACAAUCCGAAGAAGCUGUGACUUUAACAGUAGUGAUUCAUGGAAAAAUGAAGAAUGUACUAACGGUGUGGAUGAAGUGCUCAAACAGUACAAUGAAAUUGAUAUCUACAGCCUGUAUACCUCUGUCUGCUUUGCUACCUUCAUUUUCAAACUAAUGUUUGUACCACUUUUAAUUGUACAAAAGGUAGAAAAAAAAGGUCAAGAAAACAAAAGAGCUAUCAUUUUACUACAUAGAACUGACACUUAUUAGUUGUUGAUUUUUGCAGCUUUAUUCCUGAUUAAUUUUUUAGGAAUUUUAUUGUUGUACUAUAUUGAAAAAUUAAUCAUGAAGACUUUUUUAAGAGUUA